rnacentral:rRNA from 1 species
AACGUAGGACACAAGCGUUAUCCGGAGUUACUGGGCGUAAAGGGCGUGUAGGCGGACCUAUAAGUCUAUUCUGAAAGCUCCUGGCUAAACUGGGAGAGGCGAAUGGAGACUGUAGAUCUAGAGUGAGGAAGAGGAAAGUGGAAUUCCGCGUGUAGUGGUGAAAUGCGUAGAGAUGCAGAGGAACACCAGUGGCGAAAGCGACUUUCUGGUCCUUAACUGACGCUGAGGCGCGAAAGCAUGGGGAGCGAACGGG